UCCGAGUUGACCCCGGCAGUAUCCCAUGAGUUCCCACCAUUACGUGCUGGCAACAUAGAACGAGGGUUGCGCUCGUUGCGGGACUUAACCCAACAUCUCACGACACGAGCUGACGACAACCAUGCACCACCUGUUUACGAGUGUCCAAAGAGUUGACCAUUUCUGGCCCGUUCUCGUAUAUGUCAAGCCUUGGUAAGGUUCUUCGCGUUGCAUCGAAUUAAUCCGCAUGCUCCGCCGCUUGUGCGGGUCCCCGUCAAUUCCUUUGAGUUUUAGCCUUGCGGCCGUACUCCCCAGGCGGGGAACUUAAUGCGUUAGCUGCGUCACGGAAUCCGUGGAAUGGACCCCACAACUAGUUCCCAACGUUUACGGGGUGGACUAC
rnacentral:misc_RNA from 1 species